GUCUCCUGCUGGUGCUCGCAGCGUUUUGCACGCUAGCUUCCCAGGGAAUCCCAGCCCAAUAGCUGGCAUGCACAUUUAUUAUCUCCCUAAUUAACUCCCCUCCGAUUGAUUUCCAUCAGUCUCUCUAUCUUCUAAACUGAUGUCUUUUCUUCUUCUCCACCAAAUAAAUAGGGAUACGGAGAUGUUCUCCCCACAAUGCGCAUACUGCCGGAGAGGAUUGACCACAUAUCCAGGUUUAGCCCUUCACCUGCUGGUACAGGCUUCGAAGAGGAGGCGGAGGCUGGAAGCUUCUAGAACCAACCGGCUGUCGGUGGUAGAAGCUGCCUUCGUCGCGCAGCCACCCCUGCGGUUUCGCCCUCUUCUCAGCCGUGUUUGGCAACUCGCCGCCGUUCUCGCGUUCGCCUUCAAGGUCUUCACCACAUGGUACAGGGAACCGGUGGGACACGCAGCAUAUGGUGGGGCUCGCGGGGACGUCGGCGCCGUUUUCUACCAUCUUCGCCGCGCUCACCAACCCCGUCGGCCGACAGGAAUGAUUCAGAAGCCCCCUCUUCUCCACCGUUGCAAUAUUUGCCUGUGUCGUUAGCGCUGGUUCUCUCUUGAUUAUUCUAGCUGUUCAAAAUUUGUAUCUUCCUAUUAGAUCGUCGAUCUGAUGAAUCUUACAGCAUGCAGAAACCUUUGAUUACAUAGAGGAUAAUCAGACGUGGUUGGGGCCAUGGUUUAGACAUUGUGGUGAUAUUGUUUGAUUAUGAAGACGUACUGGUCUGAUAAGUGAUACAGGGUUACCAUAAUAUCUUUCCUUCAAUAGCGCCGAGGAACCUAACCGUGAGCAGUUCUCAAAGAAAUUUGAUUUCCCCCUGGGCCUGUUGGUUCCUCCCUCUGAUCCCAAUGGCAUCCAAUUUGUAUGAGGCCAUUCCUGCAUGAUCUGAUGGCUGAAGAUUGUAACACCUGGUAUGACAUUCAGAGAUGUAUGUUUUUCUUUUUUGAGGGAGAGAUGUAUGCUUUACAUGUAUUAAUUUGUUCCUUCCAUUUAAUCUGAUUGUAUAGUAGGGAAAAUAGGACCAGAGUAAAAUUCCGCAACUGUAUAUCUUGGGGUUAGCGUGUGAGGUCAAAUGUUGCAUCCAUUGUUGGUAUGCUCACAUUCAGUUCCUCUUUGCAUGCAUGAAUUUGUAUACACAAGGAUGCUGCAAGAUGGUUAAAAAUGGAAAUGCAUUUCGUUGAGAACCUUCAAGUUGCAAUUGGUAUUUCCAUGUAGCUCUUUUGGAGUGCUAUUGAUUAAAGUCACUGUUCUUUUCCAGAUUUUUAAUGCAUUUAAUUUAAAACUUCACAGUGCAGUAGAUGUUUCCAUGCAUUCGUCCAGAACUUUAGACUGCAGUAUUAGUAUUACUAUUGAUUAAUUGUCACUGUUUUUGCCUUCUGUACGUGUCAUAGGCCAAUAAUCUGAGAUAAGGGAUAUGUGCAUGUCAGAUAGUACUAACAUCAAGCGAGUGCCGCUUUAGGAAUUUUGUCUCAUGCUUUCAAAUUAUUGGUUCAAGAUUUGUACAACAGUAAUACAAUCAUGGAUAAUAGUUUUGUAAUACCAUUUUUCUGAAACAUAUUGACAAUAUUUGGAUGGUUA